AUAUAUAUGCAUAUGUGGGCACAGGUCGUCCUGAAGCGUGUACAACAAAAAAAUACGAAGCAUGAGUACAUGGAAUAUGAACUAUUUUUUUGAACAAUGAAAGACACACAAGACAUCCAACAUAAAGAAUGACCCUUCAUCAGUUGGCUGCUUUUCUACUUUCAU